rnacentral:lncRNA from 1 species
UGGUCGACCAGAGAAACCCCAGGGGCGACACCCACCAUUCCAAACCCUAGUUCACAAGAAAUCCUGCAAAUUGAAGGCCUUAAUCAGUUAGAAAUCGAAAUCCAAGCAUAGAAUCCUGAUCACCUCGUCAAAGGGAUCCUAAGGCAAGGAAUCCGGGACGUCGAGCGGACACGCCGGAGGAGAUACACGCGGAAAAGGAGUGCUUUAAAGAACAACUUGAAUGUGCUUUGAAGGUGACUUGGAACUAAUCGGAAGAUGGUCGAGCUAACUUUUGAAGAACCGAACACUAUCUACAAGCUUCCGCUGUAGUUUAUCUUUUAAUGGUUUAUGUUUUGGGCAAAUGUAAACAAUUAACAAAUUAGUUUUCGAAGGUUUUAAUUUAGUACUAGAUUGACUAAACGUUUGCUACUUAUGAAUUCCAU